CAAAAAGUAGGCCAGCGAGGAGCAGAAGCACUUCCUCCGACCACUGACCACCACCAGGGUCCCAAGGGAGGAAGAGGAAUCCCCAACCCUUCACUGCCUGGCGCCAGGUCACAUAGCCGUCACACCACCUUAAUUCUGGUCCUAAGCCAGGUUCCAGUCGUUGGAAGAAGAAACAAGAAUGAGAUAGAAACAAAAUAUGCCAGUUCCCGUCCCUUGGCCAGAAGACAGAUAUCAGAGGUCCCAGCAGAAUUACAAAUGCUGAGAAACCCCAGGGUUGUCUGUGAACUCAGCAGAAGGAGCUGCAGUGUCUCAGGGGAAGACCGCCUUAAGCAUCUGUGAGGAGGGAGCGCUUACCCUGAGCCCUAAAGAACAAGCGGGGCUCAGGCAGGAGUGUGCAGCGUGCUGCAGACAAAACCUGAAAAUACAAUAGUAAAAGAAGGGCCGAGGCAGCGGCAAGCUGGCCCCACUGAGAGAUGGAGAGAGGCUGCAGGUCCUUGAACCAUCCACAGGAAAGACUGAGACCUUAGGCCCGGCAGGGUGGGGCACACCAGUGAGCUCAGCACCGAGGAGGCUGAGUUGGGAGGAUCAGGAGUUCCAGGCCAACUUGGGCUACACAGAAGAGAAAGGAUAAAAAGGAAGUUUGAGAGAAUGGGAAAUAAGAAGGAAGGGAAGGAAGGAGGGAGAGAGAGAGGAAAGGCAGGAGGAAGGGAGGAAGGAAAGAAGGGAGGGGGAGAGGGAGGAAAGAAGGAAGCCCAAACAGCAGCAACAGAAAGCAGAGAUCUCACAGGGCAGAGGUAGCAGAGGUGGCAGAGGUGGCAGAGGUGGCACACAUCUUUCUUCCCAGUACUCAAGACCAGCCUGAUCUACAAAGUGAAUUCCAGGCAGCCUGCACAGAGAAACCCUGCCUCCGACAAAAACAAACAAACAAACUAACAAACUAAAAAACAAAAAACAAAAUAACACAGAGCUCUCAUCUAUGCAGGCAAACUCUAAAAACUCUGUCAAUUCAUGGGUGUUUGCUGACCAUCUUCCUCAUGUGUGGGCUUCAAGUCUCACUUAAAGGCAGACUUGGUGGUGCAUCUUCUUGCACCAACGUGCUUGUGAUUAACACACUUCAAGGCCCUAACUGCUCCAGCUGUGGUGCCCUUUCUCUUACUCACUACAGAUGUGCUGGCCUUCCUGUGUCCAGCAGGCUGCACCUCAGCUAUCUCCUUAUGUGUAACGCAUCUUCCAGGCGCCCCUGUCCCUUCUAAAGUGGUCCAUCCCUCAUUCAUCUCUGAGUGGUUUCUUCCUUUCAGCUCCCCCUGCACGGAGGUAAAAGUAA
rnacentral:lncRNA from 1 species